ACGGAAGGCAGCAGUGGGGAAUAUUGGACAAUGGGGGAAACCCUGAUCCAGCGACGCCGCGUGAGUGAAGAAGUAUUUCGGUAUGUAAAGCUCUAUCAGCAAGGAAGAAAAUGACGGUACUUGACUAAGAAGCCCCGGCUAACUACGUGCCAGCAGCCGCGGUAAUACGUAGGGGGCAAGCGUUAUCCGGAUUUACUGGGUGUAAAGGGAGCGUAGACGGUAUGGCAAGUCUGAAGUGAAAUGCAUGGGCUCGACCCAUGAACUGCUUUGGAAACUGUCAAACUAGAGUGCAGGAGAGGUAAGUGGAAUUCCUAGUGUAGCGGUGAAAUGCGUAGAUAUUAGGAGGAACACCAGUGGCGAAGGCGGCUUACUGGACUGUAACUGACGUUGAGGCUCGAAAGCGUGGGGAGCAAACAGGAUUAGAUACCCUGGUA
rnacentral:rRNA from 1 species